rnacentral:lncRNA from 1 species
GAAAAGUUCCCAGGCGGACGUCCGUUUGAAACGGACACUCUUUCGACGAUGGACGGAUCUCCAUCCGUCGGUCCGUAACUGCCGCUCGACCGUUCCAACCGGAUGGGUUCACGAUGUGUUCUGUUUCACCGCCACCGGAUGGGUUCACGAUGGGCCACCGUUCCAACACCGCAGAACCACCGGAUGGGUUCACGAUGUGUUCUGUUUCACCGCCACCGGAUGGGUUCACG